CACAACUGAGUGCUGUGUUCCCUGAGACACUGGAGCACUCAGACUUCACACCUAUGGGGUUGGGAGGGAGGAAGGCGUCCUCAUCAUUUCCUCAGAUGGUCCUCAUAAGACCUCCUCUUAGAAGCCCUGGAAUGCAAGAGAUUUGAUAGAUUCAAAGUGAUAAAAGACAAAACGUGGAAGCCAGGAAUCCUACCACAGGCUGAAGUGUCCUUCCUAACGGAGGAAGAAACGGAGGCAUUUCCUUGUCCGUGCUUCGUCCUGACGUUGUCCUGCUGCCGUAGCAACACACUCUAGAGUGGGGAGUUUAUUAGUUGGACUGGACCUUUAGUUUUGUUGACAGGCAAGUUUUAGAUCAAAGCACUGUUUUCCUGAGUCCACCCCUGACGGAAGGGGCAGAGGAUUUAACUGAAACCCUCAAACACCAUUGUUUUAUUACUUGCAGAGGGACAUCCUGGUGACUGCACUCAGGACCUCACACUUAUCAGGAAAGUGCUGUACCACUGAGGUGGUGCCCUGUUCCCCACAGUGGCAAAGGUUUUGAACUCAAGCAGAGAACACAUCUUAAGCUCUCACAUUGGGAGUUGAGCCCCUGAGGCUCACAGGCACUGCUGACAGCACCUUGGGCUUCCCUGGGGUCCUUCCCCCACUGGGUCCUGGGCAUCUAGUUUUUUUUGUCAACAUGAUGAUAUUCUUCUCUGUGGCCAUUGCACUCUUGGGCAGGAGAGCCAGCUACAUGCACAGUAGGUAGCCACAUCCCAGGUUCUGCAGUGGAAGAGGGUGCAGCCCAGAGUGGGUGGGAGGAUUGACUGCACAGGUGCCACCAAGGAGUCCUAUAGGAAAAUUUGUCCCUAGGCACACCUUCAUGAGAAGCCACUGUGUCUGGGUUCCCUCAGCUCAGGAGUCUCCUGAGGUCCAGACAAGAUGGCUUACAAUCCCCCAGACUGAAGUGGCUCCUGUCCAGGGGAGCAGGUUCACCCAGGCUGGUGUGGAGCCAAAAGUGUCCACCUGGAUCAGGCCACACAACGCCCCAGCUUACACAGGGGACCUGCCGUCGCUCACACUGUGGAGACGGCUAAGCAGGUGGCAGAGGAGGAAAUGUGGCUCCUCUGCUGGGGGCUGAGUGCCCAGGGCACUGCCUGUCCCAGCUCCUCCAUCUGCCCAGGUGCAGCCACCCACCUCUCCUGCAUCUUGGCCCUCCUGCUGUGGCAUCCACGCUCCUCCCAGAUGGCAGUGUUCUUCCUGCUCCCUGGGCUGUGGGACGUAGUGGACACUGGCUGAUUCAGGACAACCGUGAGUCCCCAGAGCCCAGUACCUCGGCCCUCUUGUUCAGACACUGGGCAGGUGGCAGCUGCUGGUGUGGUCGCCAAACCCCAGCAAGUCCAAGGCUCCGUCUGAAGCCAGGUGCUUGCAUGGGGGAUGUGAGAGGGACCCAGGCUGUGAGGGAUUCCCACCAUGUUCUGGGUCUGCAGUAUGUUCUCUGAGCUUCCGUUCAAGUCCAUGAAGCCAAAGAGGGAUCUGUGCAGGGUGACGCUGCCUGCCUGGCCUGACGGUCCUGGGGGUGAGCAGCAGGUGCACACAGAGGAAGAGCAGGAGGAGGAGAGGGGCCUGCGGUGUUCAGAGAGUGGACCAGAAACAGGCUACAACCUGAGCAUGGUGAGUCCUGUCCUGUGGGAGGCGAGGCCAUGGGAAAUGGUGAGACAGUCACCUGGGGCCCACCUGGCACAGAGAUGGGACAGGACCAGAAUGCCAAGGAGGGGUGUCAGGGCCCAGGUGCAACCCCAUCGUGCGUCUGCAGGAACCCUUGAGCUACUUGGAGGACUGGUGGCUGGGAGGAGGUUGAAUACCCACGAGGACAGCAGGAGCCACAGGACAAAGUGGUCCUCAGGUUUGGUGGCAGGAUCAUGGCCAGGAAUACCCGCUACAAAGAGGUGGGCAUCUAAGCAAGCCACCAUCCCCAUGGUUGUGGAGUGGGGCUCUCCCAGGCAACGUGGCCAGCGAGGCCCCCAGGGAAUUAGCAGACAGAGCAGCGGUGCGAGUCUCUGGGCUGGUUUGAUGGCUGUGCUUCCUGCAAGAGAGAGGGGAACAGGUUUUAAGGGAAGGACUUGGGGGGAGCAGGAAGCAGGAGGUUCUGUGGGUGGCAUGGGUGGGAGCAAACUUCUGCAUCUGGGUGGUGGUGAAAAGGGCAGGGAACCUUCUGGCCCAUAUUGCCCACAAACCCUAUGGAACGAGGGUGUUCAAGACAAGCAGACCUGCACAGUGUCUGGCAGUUCUGCACAGUGUCUGGCACAAUCACGGGUCCCCAUGCAGGAAAAUGGCAUACAAGAGCCCCUAUUCCCUUGAGAUGGCUCCAUUCCACUUUUACCCAGGAGACACUCAGGGAUUAGAAAUUUGAUAAAGAAAAUCUACAAACCAGCUACACCCCAGUGUGCCAGGUAGGGGAGGGCUUUUCCCCUACACCUGAUAUAAAAGUGCACAGUCCCCACAGAUCCUGGACUCGACCCCCAGGGCAGCUCCUUUCCCAUGACCAGAAUGAGCUGCCUGUUCACAGUCCAGCCUUAACCUGAUCCCUGUGGCCAAUGUGGCCCAAUUUUCUGCAGAACUGGUGAGACGUGUGCUAGAACCUUCUCAGAAAGCUCCCUCUUCCUGCCUCUACCCUCAGAGAAGUGCUGCUUGACCUCCAGGAGGCAUCUCCCCCACCGGGCCACCCUCUCCCAUUUCAUGAUAAGGGGCAUUGGUGAGGCUCACUGAGUGCUGCCAGCUGACCAGCCCUCGACAGUCAUGUCAAGGCCCCUUCAUCCCGUCUCACCCCAUCUACAGCUGGUUGUGCUGGCACAGAAGCUCCCUGGCAUCCCCAGCUGUCCAGGCCCCUUCCAGAUCAACCCUGUCACCUGAUUAUGUGUAAAUCUUCACUAAUGUCACAGGGGAGCUGUAGCCAUCUUUCCAGAGUUGAUAUCCAUACACGUGAUCGUGAAGACCACAGGACUCACUUGGCCAUGUUGCCCUGGGUGAUGGGGCAGCACUGCAGAUAUUCUAAUUGACAAACCAGGAGUAAGAGUGACCAUAAGUUUUAACCUCCAGUUUUUUUACUCCUUGAUUCCAAAAAACCAUUGCUCCCUGGGGAGCUGGGCCUGUCCCUCAGUGAUAUGGCACUUGCCUGAUAAGUGUGAGGCCCUGGUGAAAUCACCAGGUUGUCCCCACUGAAAAAAGUAAACGAAGGUUGCUUGAGGGAUUUGGUUAAAUCCUCUGCCCCUUUCAUCAUGUGUGGAUUCAGCAACAAAGUGCUUUGACCUUGAACUUGCCAGUUUACAGACCUGGGAGAAGUUAAGUCCCAUUAAUAAAUUACCCAGUCUAAGGUAUUUUGCUGCAGCAGCCUGGGGGAACCCACUCAUGGGGAGUGCCUUCCUUUCUUCCUCCUUUGGGAAGGACAUUUUGCCUCUUCUAGGAUUCUUGGCUUCUGCGUUUUUUCCUUUAUCACUUUGAAUCUAUCAGCGCACCUGUCAUUUGUAUAUUAAGACUUCUAAGAAGAAAUCUUAGGAGAACCUCUCAACCCCAUGGGCGGGGGAGACUCCUCUACAGUGUCUCAGGAAACAGAGCAUUCAGUUGUGGUAUCGCAAAGUGGAUGAGGGGUUAGUACUUUUGACAACAAUUCUUUUAAGACCAAGGAAUUGAAGUGACAUAAGCAGGUUGGUCUUCAUCAAGGCCAAGCUCAGGAUGGAUGGCCUGGAACUAUUCAUAGACCUGGCUACAACACGGUUUCAGAAGACGAAUGUUCUGUCCAAACAGAGACCAUCGGAAAGUCACUUUGGCUCUUCUCAACAGUCCAGGAUGACAGGCCAGUGGCACAGGGCGUCAUGUAGAACUCCUAGACACCUUACCCAGAAAGCACCAGAGAGGACUGACUUCAACAUCUCCUUGGAGGUCUGAGAGUCCCAGCUUGUUCACGAACACUGCAAAUGCAUGACCUAGAAUGUAAACUGACUUCUCAAACCACUAGAAUGUUCUUUAUAUCUUUUUGUUUUUAGUACCAGGGAUUGAUCCCAAAAGUACAUGAACACUGAGCCACAUCUCCAGCUCUUUUUUAAUUUUUAUUUUGAGACAGGGUCUCUGGCUUUGAACCUACAAUGCCCCUGUUUCAGUCUCCUGAGCUACAGGGAUUACAGUCCCCACAGAUCCUGCCACCACACCUUGCAAGAGAAAUUUCCAAAGUAUUUAUACACUCCAAGUGAAGAAAGACUGGGCUAAAUUUCUCCAAAUAAUCCAUGCUGUCACUCUCUAGAUGUUUAAUAUAAUUAUAAUAAGAAUAUUUGGUUUUAUUUCUCGAGGCACACACCAACAAUGGAUUUAUGUCCCUUCUUUAUAUUGACAUAAAAGUUGAAGUUACCUCAGAGCCAAUGCAUAACAAAUACUGAAGUCCCAGGAAUGACUUGAACCAGAAGCCCUUGGAUAAGAGAUAAUUUGUAAUAAAAUGAUUUCUCAAUUUUUCCUAGGUAGGGGUACAUUAUUGUUUUCUAAGACAAAACAUGUGGGGUGAACAGUUUUUCUCAUGCACUUGGUGAUUUCUUUUGUAGUAUGUAUUUGCAGGUAGUUGUCUUGGCCAGGAGUGGCAUUUUAAGUCUGAAUUCCUGCUGCUGUUUCCACUGAGCUUCCUUGAAUUUGUACUGCACUAGAAAGCACAGCCCCAAGUCCAAGAUGGCACACAGUGGUAAUGCCAGCAUCUCAAGAGGCUGAAGCUGAUGAAUGGCAAGUUCAAGGCCAGCCUCAACUUCUUAGCAAGAUCCUGUAACAGGGUUGAGAUUAUCCAACUGCCCUAUACUGGUGGGGACUCCCCUCUGCUUGGAAAUAUCAGGAAAUGGGGAGGAGCAGGGGGAGACUAGUAUGUGUCUAGGCAGUAGGAGGAGGGAAGGAGUGGUCAAGGCUGUCAGAGGGCCUCGUGCAUAGUAAGAAGGGUCUGCAGUGGCAGCUCAGGGUCUAAGGGUGGUAUGAAGAGUGUGUGGUGUUGGGAGGAGGAGCAGGCCGGCCAGGGCUGGUACAGUGACCUGGAGACUUAAGGAUAGGUCUCCCUGAAUCAGCAUGUCAUCUUACAAGGCUGGCCUCCCAGACACACCUGCCCCUCAGUCCUGUCCCAGAGAUGGGAUUCUAGCAGAUCUCAUCUAGGCCUGUCCGAAAUCACACCAAGAGCAACAGGAAGCUAAGUGAUGUACUUUUAUCUACAAGCAUUUACCAGGCUGCCCAAGUUUGCACCAGCCACCAAACCCACCAUAGAGCCCGGGGACUUGAGUGUGCACUCACAUUUCUGGGGGCCAGAGUCUGACAACCAGUGUGGUCAUGGCUGGUGCCCGCUGAGGCCUCUCUCUGAGCUUGCAGAUGGUCUCCCUGCCUGUGUUCUCACAGUGGUACCCUGGCAGUCUGUGGCUCGAUUUCCUCUGCUGUAAGGACACUGCUCACAUCUGAUUAGGACUGUGAGGGGCUAGGAGUCAGCCCAUCACACAGACUAGGCUCAUUCCUCUCCAAACAUCAGGCCAUUGUGAGAAGUUAUGUGAUCUCAGACCUGUGAAGACAGCUCACUCAACACCCACCUACUAAGGCCAUUUGGACCUGUACCAAAUCUUGUAGGACAGUUGAAUUGAUACCAACCCAGUAAGGCCACUUUAAUCAUUACGAACCCAUUCAGGCCACAUUAAUCUCUAACAAUCCAGUGAUGCCACUUGAGUUGAUACAAAGAACUGCAGUGUUUGGAUUGUGUGAUAUUUUUGCAGGUCUAUUGCAUGAGUCCUUGGCCUGAAGCCAUUGCCCGUGAGUCACACUAUGGCUGAACUGCACUUAAUAAAUCCCAGUGAAGCAGAGAGGCACAUGGCUUGUUUGGUCUUUGUGGAGUCACUUUGUCCUCUGGGCUCUGUUGGUGGUGCAUGCACAACCCCUGAAUCACCGGCACGCAGGCCCUUCCCUGCCUGCCUUCAGAGGUUCCCAUGUCACCUGCCCUGUCAUUUAGAGGGUGCUGGACUUACUGGCCAAUGCCUAGGCUCUGCUUAGUUCCUCCUUCUGCAAUUUGUAUGGGUUCCCCACCCUUUUAAAAUAACUGUCUCCAGACUGUGGGACGAGCAAGGAUCCCAGCUCCCUAACCUCGGUGGGGACACCCUGGAGGAGGAAUCUACCGUAGGACUCCUCUGUGGGCUCAGGCUGGGGCUGCCCUCCGUGGGCUUCUGCUUGAGUUUGAGCUUCCACUUGUCCUCCUCCCUUUCCUUGGCCUCCCUGCCUGUCUCUUGCUCUGUGGUCUGCCCUGGGAGCAUGGCCUUCAUACCAAUAAGUCACCCACACGUGAGUCUCAUCGUAGGUGCUGCUUCUACGAAAGUCUAACUUAAGUUAGGAACCAUGAGGCUUACCUAAACAUAGGUGAUCUCCACAAGAUCAUUACCAAUAGUAAGUGUUCUGGUGGGCUCCCUGCUAGGCGGUAAGGACAAAGUGAGAGCGACAGAGUGGCUGUCCUGGAGGCAAUCAUAAUCUUCCCUGGAUGAUGUGAAACACACAAAAAAUGAAAAUUAAUAAUUCACGAUUAUUAUCAGACGUAUUAGCUCUUGUUUUCACUUCUGGGUCCUUCUUGUCCUUUGUCCCUCUUCCACACAUCAUCCAUGCAGCAGAGUUGGGUAGGGCUGGGCUGUUGGCUGGGUCUGCUCAGCCUCUCUGAGCCUGGCACACCUUUGGGGUGCGGGAAUAGCUGAAGGGUCCCUGUGUCUUUGGUGUGACACAGAAGUCACAGUGAGAGGUGCCAGAUACGAGGGGAGCUGAGUCCAGGAACAUGAGGGGACUCGGGGACCGAGGAGGUGAGGACUCUCCAGGUGUCCUAGCUCUGAGAAGCCACUCCAGGAAAGGGGAGCUGAGACCCCAAGCUGACGGAGAUGCUGCUUCUCCUCAUCCCGGUAGGAUGGGCCAUUGAUAUAGAAAUCCAACUGAGGUGCAGAAAAUGAAGACAGUGUAUUCCUUGCACCACACUCUUGAGGGCUGAGACGCACACCCACUAUAAACCCAGGGGGGUGCACCAAAUCAGUGGUCGAGAAAGCAGCCCUUUGGUAUCUGGAUCAUCCAUCUUUUAUGGAUUCUGCGAGGUCCUGUAGUACAUGUGUGUUCUUGUAUAAGAUCCCUAGUAUCUCAGACCUUCAGGGAAAUAAAGGAGUCACUAAACCAAUAAAUAAGAAAAACCCUGUGCAAAAAUCACACCCUCAUUUCAUGCUGUGCUUUGACUUGCUUGGUUUUAAGCUCAGCCUGAGGCCACCUAAUCCCCAAUUCAAGGCUGGUUAGAACCAAUCAGGAGAGUUUUGUUGAACAAAGCAGAGGGAGGUCUGCUGUUUGGAAGUAAAACAUUCAAGGGAUUUAAUUUUAUGAACACAAAUGGAUCAUGUUCACUGAGUCCCUACUCACUGAAGCAGCCCUGUGACCUUUUCUACAGAUUAAUAAGGUCGGGGGCCUGUUUCCUGACUGGUUAUCCCUUCUGGUCCUUUCAUGGUACCUUUUGAAAUGAAAGAUGUCUUCGCUCCUUAAGGAAGUUCUAUUUCUUUCCUAUUUGUAAUAUGGGGAGGGUGAUAUUUUCCCUGCUAAUUAUGAGGGAAAUAGAAGAUAAACAAAUCACUUUCAAGACUUGACCUACACAGAGCCUGUGUUUUCUAAGAAUUGAUUGAUAAUGUUGAAUCACCAAGGGAGAUUGUUAAAUCUCUAUCAUCUAUCACCUGCCUGUAAUCUAUCUAUAGAACACACACACACACACACACACACACACACACACGUCUCGUCUUAAGGACUUAGUCACAGAGAUUUGACCUCACACAGUUCUGGGAGCUGGUUAGCCAGUCUCUGUAGGGUGAUCACUUUCAUGUCUGAUGCUAGAGGUUGAAACCUUCACGGCAGGCAAAGGGGCAGAGGGGUGGGCACUCUUGAAACCAAGAACAAGCUGAGGUGCCAGAGCAGAACCCUGGAACCCACGUCUGUGGUCACUGGCCUGGCUACAUGUGUGCAUGUCCUACAGAAGCUGGGCCCUCAGUCCCAGAGCUGGACAUGCACAGCUGGCCUAGGGGUUAGGGAGGGUGGAGGGGUCUAGGGAAGGGAGGCGAUGGCAGGCCUUGUUGCCCGCUCAUGCCAAUGAGGUGCCAGCAUUUAGGUGUCAAUAUGUGAGUUUGUGGGUCUCCUAGGUCACUUUAAGUUUGUUGAUGUCUUUGGGAAAACAGGUUUUGUCGUUGCGGAGUAUAACUAGUGACAAUAUUUAAUUACAUAUGUUUCCAUUUCUUUCAAUGUAUAUUUUGAAAUAGGUGCUUCUGCAUAUAGAUUUUAUAUUCUUAUGUAUAAUUUAUACCCUUCUAUCUAUAUGCCUUUUAAAUAUUUAAUUGUGAAAUUAUGUAAAAUUUUAUAUUAUCAUCACCUUAUUAGUGGAUUUUUCCAUAGUUUUUAAUUUUAUACUUUUUAAAUGAUGGAGUGGCAUCUUUUUUCUCACAUUUAAUUAUUCCCUAAAAUAGACUGAUAUAAAUGGAAUAGGUAUAAAUAUUCUGUGUCUUGAACUAUGUUCUAAUGAGUAGGUAGAAAUUUAUUUAAAAUAUUUAGGUAGGUUACAGCGAUUUAUAUAUUUUUUUCAGGAGUACAUUAAACCCAUACAUUGAUUUGGGAGGAAUCAAUAUCAUAUUCAAUCUUCAUACCUUGGAACAUAAUGUAUUUUAUGGAUACUAAGGACCUUCUUUUCCCUAUUGUGACAUCUGUGAAAUUAGGAUUUGUUUACAAUAGAUGGCAUUUCAUAAUUUAAUUGGCAGCGUGUUUCCUACAAUGAUGGCGCGUCCAACAGUCCGUGGCAGUUUAUGUUUGAUGCAUGAAGUGUCUCUACAUUGAGUGGUGCUUU
rnacentral:lncRNA from 1 species